UACGUAGGUGGCAAGCGUUGUCCGGAUUUACUGGGCGUAAAGAGCGCGCAGGCGGUCGUUCAAGUCGCGUGUGAAAGCCCCCGGCUCAACUGGGGAGGGUCACGCGAUACUGAUCGACUCGAAGGCAGGAGAGGGAAGUGGAAUUCCCGGUGUAGUGGUGAAAUGCGUAGAUAUCGGGAGGAACACCAGUGGCGAAGGCGACUUCCUGGCCUGUUCUUGACGCUGAGGCGCGAAAGCUAGGGGAGCGAACAGG
rnacentral:rRNA from 1 species